GUAGGGAAUAUUGCGCAAUGGACGAAAGUCUGACGCAGCGACGCCGCGUGAGUGAUGAAGGCCUUAGGGUCGUAAAGCUCUGUUGAAUGGGAAGAAAAAAAUGACGGUACCAUUCGAGGAAGGACCGGCUAACUUCGUGCCAGCAGCCGCGGUAAUACGAGGGGUCCUAGCGUUGUUCGGAAUCAUUGGGCGUAAAGGGUGUGUAGGUGGCCAUGUAAGUCAGGUGUGAAAGCCCCGGGCUCAACCCGGGAAGUGCACUUGAUACUGCGUGGCUUGAGUGCCGAAGAGGGUAGUGGAAUUCCAGGUGUAGUGGUGAAAUACGUAGAUAUCUGGAGGAACACCGGUGGCGAAGGCGGCUACCUGGUCGAGUACUGACACUGAGACACGAAAGCAUGGGGAUCAAACAGGAUUAGAUACCCGAGUAGUCC
rnacentral:rRNA from 1 species